UGGCAAUGAGGACAAAGGCUUAAUUGAAUUACUAUGAUAAAUUUAUACGCUAUUCUGAGCCAACA